rnacentral:rRNA from 1 species
GUGGGGAAUCUUGGGCAAUGGGCGCAAGCCUGACCCAGCGACGCCGCGUGGGGGAUGAAGGCCUUCGGGUUGUAAACCCCUGUCAGGGGGGGCGAAAGCCUUCCGGUGAAUAGCCGGGAGGUCUGACAGUACCCCCAAAGGAAGCCCCGGCUAACUCCGUGCCAGCAGCCGCGGUAAUACGGAGGGGGCUAGCGUUAUUCGGAAUUACUGGGCGUAAAGCGCGCGCAGGUGGCGCAGUAAGUGGCUGGUGAAAGCCCUCGGCUCAACCGAGGAACUGCCUGCCAAACUGUUGCGCUUGAGGCCGGGAGGGGGAAGCGGAAUUCCUGGUGUAGCGGUGAUAUGCGUAGAUACCAGGAGGAACACCGGUGGCGAAGGCGGCUUCCUGGACCGGCUCUGACACUCAUGCGCGAAAGCGUGGGGAGCAAACAGGAUUAGAUACCCGAGUAGUCC